rnacentral:rRNA from 1 species
CCUACGGGGGGCAGCAGUGAGGAAUAUUGGUCAAUGGGCGCGAGCCUGAACCAGCCAAGUAGCGUGAAGGAUGAAUGCCCUACGGGUUGUAAACUUCUUUUAUAAAGGAAUAAAGUGAGGCACGUGUGCCUUUUUGUAUGUACUUUAUGAAUAAGGAUCGGCUAACUCCGUGCCAGCAGCCGCGGUAAUACGGAGGAUCCGAGCUUUAUCCGGAUUUAUUGGGUUUAAAGGGUGCGUAGAUGGGUUGUUAAGUCAGGUGUGAAAGGUUGGGGCUCAACCGUAAAAUUGCAAUUGAUACUGGCAGUCUUGAGUACAGUUGAGGUAGGCGGAAUUCGUGGUGUAGCGGUGAAAUGCGUAGAUAUCACGAAGAACUCCGAUUGCGAAGGCAGCGUACUAAACUGCCACUGACAUUGAUGCUCGAAAGUGUGGGUAUCAAACAGGAUUAGAUACCCUGGUAGUC